rnacentral:rRNA from 1 species
UACGUAGGUGGCAAGCGUUGUUCGGAAUUAUUGGGCGUAAAGGGCGCGUAGGCGGUUUGUUAAGUCGGUCGUGAAAGCCCGGGGCUCAACCCCGGAGGGUCGACCGAUACUGGCAGACUAGAGUACAGAAGAGGUAACUGGAAUUCCCGGUGUAGCGGUGAAAUGCGUAGAUAUCAGGAGGAACACCGGUGGCGAAGGCGGCGACCUGGGCCAAUAUUGACGCUGAGGUGCGAAAGCGUGGGGAGCAAACAGG